UGUAUAAUACAGUGGACUUAAACGUAUCUUUGACAAAAGUUUUCCAGCUCCAGGCUCGCUACCUUCCAGGUGCAAGGCCAACUACCUGUGUGACAGCAGCAUCUGCUGGUAGCUGGUAGAGUUGCAGCAGUAGAAGCAGCUCCACAAACUUCAAAACAACAUGGUGAAGAAGUCUUUUUUAACAGGCAGACUGUCAGAUUUCCUCUAACAACAAAACAACCGGCUAAGCGUGUUUUCCUGGUUUCGGUUAUAAGGAAAGUGAAAUCUAAAGGGAGUUACUACAGCCUCACACAAACAUACAGAUCAGCCAUCGAAAGCAGCAGAUUUACGCAGGAUGAUGACGACGUCAGCAAGAAUUACUGUGCUGUGUGGCUGUGUGGCUCUGCUCCUGACCCUGACUUCUGUGUCAGCUGUAAGACAAAUACUCAAUUCAAUCAAUGAUCUAAUGUCAGUAGACUUCGGCCAGUCUGUGCCGAUCCACAGUCUUGUGCUGCUCCACUGGUUUGCCAACACUGUUGACAUUGACAGAAACGAUGUCAUACAUCUGACCUUUAACCCAAACCAUGAUUAUGGGUCCCACUAUUAUGGCAACAGUGAGAAUCUGUUUGAACUAUCGCUGGCAUCCAAACACUACACCAUCGGUAACAUCAAUGCAUCAACAUCAGUCCCACUUCCACCUCAUGUCCAAGCCCAGUCAGGACAUGGAAACAGAGUUCGAGUCGUUAUUAGAGUCAGGGAGGCAUAUGGAGUGCGACAAGUAGAGCGAGUCUAUUUCACGCAGCAUUAUCCAUUUUACUAUCGAAGGUCAGCUUAUGAUCCCGAUCAAACGUACGAGGUCACUACCAACCUCUUAAGAGAGAUCAGAGAGUUUUCUAUGGACAGUCAUGACAUGAUAUCAUUAAGGUAUCUUAGGGAUCGCUUUGGAGGCAGUGCUAAUGAUUUACAGUUAGAACGCAUCAGAAACAUGUGGGGUCACCUUGCUUCUCUCGGACUGUUGUUCCACAUUGUGGGGUAUACUGGGCCAGUACAAUCCUACUGUAACCAAGUCCAGUUGGCAUCGAGAAGAAAUGAUUCAUGGAGCAACAUUCAAGACUGUCUAGGUUUCUUAUGUCGUUUGUUGUUAGUAGUUGUUUUGGUAGUUGCUGUUUUGUUUUUUCUUUUGUUAGCAGCAGCAAAUAAAAAGUGAGUAAACAAUGUGAAGAGAAAACUUGU